AAUGAACGUUGGCGGCGUGGAUUAGGCAUGCAAGUCGCGCGGGUGUAGCAAUACACCAGCGGCGAAAGGGACAGUAAUGUGUAGAUAUCUACCCUCGGGUCGGGGAUAGCCACGGGAAACUGUGGGUAAUACCCGAUAAUGUCUGCGGACCAAAGGUGUGAUUCCGCCCGUGGAUGAGUCUGCAUCCUAUUAGCUAGUUGGUAGGGUAACGGCCUACCAAGGCCAUGAUGGGUAGCAGGUGUGAGAGCACGACCUGCGUCACUGGGACUGAGACACUGCCCAGACACCUACGGGUGGCUGCAGUCGAGAAUCUUCGGCAAUGGGCGCAAGCCUGACCGAGCGACGCCGCGUGUGGGAUGAAGGCCUUCGGGUUGUAAACCACUGUCAGAGGGGAGGAAAUGUAUGUGGGUACUCCCAUGUAUUUGACCUAUCCUCAGAGGAAGUACGGGCUAAGUUCGUGCCAGCAGCCGCGGUAACAC
rnacentral:rRNA from 1 species